GAUUUAAAUGGCUAAAUUACCUCCUCAACAUGUCUUGAGGUUCUCCAGAGGCCUGGUAAUGAACUAAUCAUUUGAGUAGUUCAUUACCAGGCCUCUGGAGAACUUAUGUUGAGGAGAAGAUAAGAAGAGAAGACAUGUUGAGGAGGUCUGUUGCAACAGGGACACAUGGAAAAGUUUUAGGACACCGGCCCUCAAGGACUGGAGUUCGAGACCCCUUCCCUAGAGCCAACUGGGUAUGAGACCAACGGGACUUCUGCCUUUGACCGCUGCCCAGUCCUUAUUGCACUGAACCCCUACAAUACCAAUGGAAAGAGAGCAGGUUAAUGUCAUUUAAGGAACUGACUUCCUUUUUUAGAUCUGAAGGCUAUAUCCACUUCUUUUAUACAUGAUACUGUUAAAAAAGAAGAAAAUGUAUGCACAUAUGCCCAUAACUACAAGAUUUUGUCAGGUUAGCCAACAUGCUAGUGGGACAUUGUGACAGCUAAUCUUACAUAGAAGCUGGCCGUUUAGCUUGUUAAAAUAUUCGAAGUGGCUCAUUGCACAUGCAAUGACCAACUUUUUAAAUCCUUUUGUCUGCAGUUUGUACAGUUCAUAUUUCGCUGCAUUUUGCAUGGUGCAGCCUUACUGUUAAAAUACAACUCAAGCUUCCUAUCACAGUCCAAAGACAAGCAGGUAAACUUCCCUGGUGAUUCUCAACUGGCUACAGGUGACUGUCAAUGUCUCUCUGUGCUAUCCCUGCAAUAGGCUGGUGACCUGUCCAGGGUGCAUCCCGACUCUUGCCCUAUGACUAAAAGAGGCUACUGCAACCCUGAACUGGAGAAGUAAAAGACGAUGGAUGGAUGACUUGGCUCACUGGAUGUAACAGCAUGUCAUCUUAAGAUAUAUCAGUCUUCAGAUGACAUGCCUGUGGUGUGUGCCUUAAAGGUUAAAAAAAACAAAAGACAAUUACCUGCUCCAAAAAGAUGAGACUCAAAGCGUGUUACAUAAGUUAACAUGCAAAGGAAAAUCGGCAGUGACUGACCACGACUGCUGAUUGUCCUCAGAGCCUUACGAAGGCUUAAGAAAAAAAAAAAAAAAAAAAGACAGAUGCUCACCUCAAAACAAAGCUUCCAACA